GCGGGAUUAAAAACAACUGCAGCUUUUAUUAGUAUGAUUUAAACGCUCAUAACAACCUCCUCAGCUUUGAGCUGCCCACUGUGCUUCAUAAACAUAGAGCCCAGGGCUUGUCUGUAGGUAGAUCACUGUGGUUACGCUGGGUGGUUUUUCUGCUGUUCUGGAAAUGAAUUGCUGUCUCUGCCUGUUCCCACCUGUGUUUGUAGCUCUAUCCUUAAACAGCCAAUUUCUUUUUCAUCACGGGUUUCCUGCUGUGUGUUUGAUGACCUUUGACCAACUAGCAGAGCUACAGCAGAUGCCCCGGAACUGGAGUAGAGAGCCACUUAUGGGUGCUAGGAACUGAAUCCAGGUCCUCUUCAAGAGCAACUCAUAUGCUCUUAGUGGCUGAGCCAUUUCUCCAGCCCGCUGAUUAUGUUAAUUGAGAGGAGAAGCCAUACCCAACCACUAUGAAUGGAACCAUUCCCUGGAUAGGGGUUCCUGAACUCUAUAGAGGAGAAAGGAAGCUGACAAUAGAAGCUGUGGUCUGUGUAACACCAGUACCUACUGGCCUCUCAAGGAGCACACUUUCCACUCUGGAUCCAUUCAGCAUCCAGUCAGCCCAGCUGAGAACCCCAGAGGAGGAAGCACCUGCUUGCCCUGACUUGAAGCUGCAGUUUGCUUGCCAUCCAAAAUGAGUCAUGAAGGCACCGUGGAGCGGAUUUUACUCAUCCCCCAGGAAUGGACUCUUGGAAGGCUCCGGAAUGACUAGCUUCAAGUGUUC
rnacentral:lncRNA from 1 species